ACUUAGAUUGCAUUUGAAGUUCAUGAUGGUUUCGCAGUAGUACGCACUUAACUGUGGCCUAGACAAUAAAUAAAUAGCGGUGCAUUUUUAUUGCGAAUUUGUUUAAAUAUCUUUCAGGAGAGUUGAAGCUUAUUGCGGGAUGUUGAGAAAAUAUCAUAAUAACGAUAAACGUGAGCCGACGAGGUGUUAUGGUAAUAAAAAUUACAUCUUACACAUUCAUGCAGUCGAUAAAAUCCAACAUACAAGUCAAAAGACUAGCUUUAUUUUCUACAGAAUAAUUAUUCACAAUCAGUUCAUUGAUUUGCCCGUGUAAAUAUUUAUUUAAACGUUUUUAUCGUAUUUGGAACAAAACUGGUUCUUGUAAUAACAAUUUAUUUAAGGCAACCAGUUAUUUAUUAGUUAAAUCGCAUAUAGAAUAAUAUAGAAUAAAUAGAUUCAGCUCAUCAAAUUUUCUUCAAACCAAUUGUCCAAAAAAAUCACAUAAGAUAAAAUACUAUAUUGAAUAAAUUUUAUCGUUAGUAUAAUUGGAUUAUUAAGUUAAGAUGAAUAUUAUCUUAUUUUUAAAAGAUUUUACUUAAAUACACAUAUGAGUUUUUUAGUUAUAAUAUUUUACCACUAUACAAAAACUGUAUAACCUAUAUCAAGAAACAUUAGUAUUGAUACACGUUAUACACCUUCACAUAGUUGGAUGAUAAAAGUAUCAAGUUAAACAAAUAAAUUAUAAAAUAUAAUUUAUAAAAACAGUGCGUUAUUUAAAAUAAAUAAAUAAUAUACAUUAUUGUUUUAUAUUUAUAGCAAAUUAAUAAUCUGUGAACAAUAAUUUGGCUGUUUGGUGAUAUGGUUAAAAAAGUAAGUAGUAUAUAAGAUACAGUUUUACAAUGAAAAAAAAUUUAUCUAAUAAAACAUAUUUAAAAUUAUCUGCCCUCGUCGAAUUUUAUAUCAAAGUAAUAAUAUAAUUUUAAAUUAUAUCUAUGACAUUAAUGCAUUUUAUUAAUAAACAUUUAGGUGUAUUAUUGUGUCAUUUAUAUAUUUUAACAAUAGGUUUUUUUUAUUUCAAAUUAAGGUAUAAUAAUAAUAAGAUACAACAAAUUAUUAUGGUAAGUAGGUAAUUGAACUACCACCGUCCACAUUAUUUCAUUAUAAGCAUAGAAAUAAAUCACAUGUGCUAUAAAUUACUUUGGUGAACAAUAAUAUUAUAUUUUACAUCUUUAUGAUAAACAAAUAGCCUGCAGUCUUGUUCGUUCAGAUCACGAGCACCACCUGACACAUACCUAUACAUACAUAUAUAUAUAUAUAUAUAUAUAUAUAGUAUUUACAUUAUGAUAUUUUAUGUUUUGUAUUGAUGAUAAUUUAUGUUCAAGACUUAUUGAAAUCUAAAUACCCGAAAGCCACGCGAUUGAAUAUGUAAAAGACAAGAGGGAGAGAGACAGGUAAAAAACAAAUAUGGAAAUAAAAAAAAUAAAAUGUCUUAGAAUAAUCCGAGUGGUAGUGAUUACCAUUCGAACUCAAUAAUUACUUAUUAAUUCUUAAACAAAAGAGAAUUAUUUAAAGAGAUAAUUUGUUUCUAAGUGAUAAUAAAAAUUAAAAAAAAAAAAUAUAAGUACAAACACGUCUAGCUCUAAUAGUUAAUAGGUUUGAAUAAAAUUUAUUUUUAUUAUUCCAAUAAACGAGUUAAAAUCGUCAUGUUUAAGAUAGUGGACAAUAAAAACAAUGAUUUAUAACUUAGUUAACUAUGCCAUUAUUGUAUACCCCUACCACUCGUGUGCACCCGUCAGACGUAGGUAGAUAUAACAACAGUUAAAUAACACUACAUGUACAACAAUUGUCUGCGGAAUAUAUACCUAUAAUAGUGAAUAAUGAAUACAUGUACAUCUACUUAUGACAACGGCCCGUUAAACUUCCUCUUCUAUUUUUUGUUUUUACUUAUUACGUUUCUAUACUCAAUAUGCUCCUUAUAAUUAAAGUAAAAUACUUUAAAUCUUAAAGGACAUAAAAAUUGUUGAUCAUCUGCCUAUAAGUAUAUUUUACUGCUUUAGUAGUUUAGUGAAUACGCAUAAAGAUUAUACUAUGCGUUUCAUUUAAAUUCUAGUCAGUAUAGCGAUAAUAUUUUCCGUGGUCAGUGAUUUCCCAGUGGAGAUACUUUUUCAAGAUGCUAGAAAGUUACAAAAGAUCAUACAUCACUUUAAUCUCAUCAAUAAUUUUUAUUUCGAAGAGAUGAUUUUUUAUAGCCAGGAUGUUGAAGUAUAUAUUUUUUCUUAAUUGAUUUUUAUUAUUUUUUUAAUGAUAAUAUGUAUAUCAUUGUUAUUCCUAUGUUAUUUAUAUUUUUACUGCGGAACCAUUUUAAGAAAUGUUAUAAUUUUUACAGUAAUUUACCCAUAUCAUUUUAUUAGACGACUAGCUUUAUUUAUUACAUUUUAUUUUACAUAUUUGAUAAUCAAGUUAUUUCAAUCAAUUCAAUGUUUUAAUCAAAUUUAAUUUAUAUCAAUGCAUGAGCUACCGGGAUUUCCAGUUCUCCGUAAUGUAAGCUAUAGGAAAGACCACCACAGAGACACGUUCUGUUUUUAUUUAUUACAUUCUACCAAUAAUUUUAAAUAAAUAAAAUAUUCUACAUUUUCGUUAAUUGUAGUGUAAAUAAUACUAAUAAAUAACAGUAAAUAUUAUUAGUUUAUAUAAUUGCCACUUCAUGUUUUCAUUAUUUUUUUUAUGCCAUAUCAGUUUCCCUCGAGCGAUACCAGUUAUUUAAUAACUUGUCAGAUGAAUAUCUUGAUAGUAUAAUAUAUAAAUACAUUUGUCCAAUAUAUUAUUAUAAUGGAAUAGAAAAAUGAACGUUUCUUCAAUACUGAUGAUUGCCAAUGGAGUUGUGGAGAGAAGAUAAAUAUAAAUUAAUCAUACUGCAUUUUAUUAUUUUGGAUAUAAUAUUUGGUUUCCAAUAAAACAAAGGAGUAGCCUGCUGAAUGCUGAUUAAAUUUGAAUUAAAUAUUUUUCAUGAAUAAUUAAGACAUUUUAUUUAAAAAAAAUUCCACUUGGAUUAACUUCACAUACUGUAUCGUCAAUGAUAAUUCUUGAUUAUUAUAGUAAAGUAAAAAUAUGCUACUUAUAACCAGCUGAAAAUUAAAUUUUAACAACACGAAUAAGACAUAUACAAAUCUAAAUAAAUGAUAAUAGAGCUGUUAGACAAGUUAGUGUAGUUUAUGCAGUAUUUUAGGAAUCAUUUAGUGAAUACUAUAUGUAUAAAUAUCUUUUUAAUUAUUAUGUUUUAAAAUUUUAAAUUAAUUAUAUUGAUAUUUUAACAUAUGAAUCUUUGUAACUUUAAUUAAUUAUUUUAUUAUAUGUUUAUUUCAAGGAUCGGAUAAAAUUUUUUUUUUCGAAAUAAUGAGAAAAAAUAUUUUAUGUUUUGAAUGAACCAAUGAAUUGACAUGUUACAACUAUGUGUGUUUUUUGUGUCUCGAAUAUUUAAUACAAGAUUCAAGAUGAUAUACGUAUAACAUUAAAAGUGCACAUGCACAAUAUUUUAAAUGCAUUUUAAGUUCAAAGUUAGACGAAAUUAUAAAUUUUAAGUAUGAAUAAUAAUUAUUUUAUUAUAAUACAAAAAUAUUAUUCAUGGGAACUUUUUACUUUUACAUAUUAUAAUACUACGGAUUUUACUUUACGUAGGUAAUAACAAUUUUAAAAUAUAUAGAUUAAUUUAAAGAUAUUACUUUUUUAUCUGUCUCUGUUCAGAAUUAUUUUUCAUAUAUAAUGAUAUAUCAUUGAAUUUUAAAUUUAACGCAUCGAUUUUAAAUGACCCCUCAGAUAACAACUCCACAACAGAGUGUUUUAAGCAGUUACUCACCUUUAUUUUGUAUGGUGUCUCCAACAUUGCAAUUGUAGUUAAUACAUUUUAAUAAAGUAUUUAGAAAAAUAUACUCUAAACAUACAUAUAAUUAAAAUAUAUAAAUAAUAUUUAAUUAAGUAUAAUGGUUCCAAAUGAUUAAUUUUUAUGUAGAGUUUGGAAGAAAAUAAUUAUUGAAAACGUUUAAUUAAUACAAAUAUUUUUUAGUUAAUAAAAAAAUACUUUUAGGCCAUGGAAGGUACUUUUUAUAUAAUAAAUAUACAUUUGUUUUAAACGUAGAAUAAAUUAUUUAAAAACUCAUAUCUCAUAAGUAUUUAUUAGACGUAUUUCCGGGCUUCAGGCUAUAGAUUAUAAACAUAAUUAUGUAAAUAUUCUUUAACAAUAUUAUGUCGUCAUAAUCAAAUAUUAUUUCCUUUUCAUAACUUUCCGACAACAUUUAUGUAUAAUCAAUGAUACACUACUUGUAAUGUUACUAUAUAGUACUUUAUGAAAUAUACAUUUUUCCCCCUUUUUUAAAUUGUAUUGUGUAAAUAAUAGUAUAUGUUUGUUUUAACUCCAGAUAAGAAGUAACCAUUAAAUGAUAACCAUUUAAAUUAGUUCAGAAUGGUGUGAUAUAUAUUUACGUCAGAAAUAAGAUGCGCGUAAAGCGUAGUGGUAGUAUAUAAUAUUAUGUAGAUUGGUAAAUUUCGGUCGUAAGCCACUAACCAAACAUAUUAUAUUAUAUAAUAAUAUAUAAUUUAUAAGUAUAUAAUUCGAUAUAGAUAAUAUUUCUGUUCAAUAUAUCUUUUAUAACUCAAUUAACUACUCAAAAAUUAUAGACUCAACCGUCUCAUCAUCCAGUUUUUAACGUAGUUAUGAUUAAUAGGUAAUUGUGUAUUAUGAUGAAAUUAACAAAAAACCUACAGUAGGUAAGUAUAUGUUUUUUUAGUUUGCAAAACCAAUAAAUAAAAUUAUUGUAUAACAUUUUUUUUCUAGAUUAAGUAAGAAAAACUUACUGCUUUAAUUUAAUUAAAAAUUUGUUUAUGAAAUUACUUAAAUGAAAUAUUUAUUUG